CACCGUUUCAGUGGCAUUUAAAUCCCCGGCGCUCCUCAGUCUAGGUGACGCGCGGUCGCCCCCCCAGGCAGCCCGGGCCGCGGCGGCCGCUGCCAGAGCUGACUUGGAGCACUGGG
ensembl:misc_RNA Gm56050 predicted gene, 56050